GGCCCUGAUGAUAACGGUGUCUCUUCUUUCCUCGUCCGAUUCGACCAUGACGACAAGGGAUUUUAUCUCGUUCUCUUAAUGCGAGUGAUUUUGAAAAGGUGAAUAUUGCUUCGGUGAUAUCUCUUCCUUUUCAUGAUCAUUAGUGUUUGCAAACGGGAACUUUUCUUGCCAGUGUUAUACAACACAUGCAGAUCUGAGCC
rnacentral:snoRNA from 1 species